GCAUGNCCUNGCAAGAUUUAAGUGGGGGNCCUUCGGGCCUCACGCCAUCGGAUGUGCCCCGAUGGGAUUAGCUAGUAGGUGGGGUAAUGGCUCACCUAGGCGACGAUCCCUAGCUGGUCUGAGAGGAUGACCAGCCACACUGGAACUGAGACACGGUCCAGACUCCUACGGGAGGCAGCAGUGGGGAAUAUUGCACAAUGGGCGCAAGCCUGAUGCAGCCAUGCCGCGUGUGUGAAGAAGGCCUUAGGGUUGUAAAGCACUUUCAGCGAGGAGGAAGGCGUUGUAGUUAAUAGCUGCAGCGAUUGACGUACNCGCAGAAGAAGCCCGCAACCC
rnacentral:rRNA from 1 species